UUUUUUGAUCAUAACUUCAAUAUCUAUUACAACUCGUAUCAAUAUCUAAAUCAAUAUGUCAAACUUAUUAGUUGUUAGUUUGUAGUUUAUAGUUCGUAGUUACUAUUAACAAUAAACGAAACACUGGCAACAAACGACUUAAGGUGGUUAUAGCGACGGGGCUCACCUCUUACCAUUCCGAACAGAGUAGUUAAGCCCGUUAGCGCCAAUGGUACUACAAUCGUGGGAGAGUAGGUCGCCGCCUUCC
rnacentral:rRNA from 1 species